rnacentral:snRNA from 1 species
GGAUGCUUUGGAGAUCUGGCUGCGACAUCUGUCACCCCAUUGAUCACCAGGGUUGUUUUGGCUGAUCUGGUUGGCUAGGCUGGUGUCCCCUUCUCCCUCACUGCUCCUUGUGCAUCUCUCUGGAAGCUGUGUGCUUGGUCGAAGAGGACGACUGUCUGAAUAGAGGAGGACCAGUCUUCAGGUAGCUGCACUCCUCUGCUAGAGCCUCCAAACAAGCUUGUGUUUAUUUUAAACUAAUAACGACAGCCUAUAAUUACAGAUUUAUAUCAGGAACUACAAAUAUUAACUAAAAUUUUUGGUUAUUC